CAGAAAGAUUUUAAUAUAAAGGAAAUUUAAAGAUUAUACAUCACAUCGCAUAGAUGUAAUGACCACUAGAUGGUAGAUCUCAUGAGAGGAUAUGAGUAUGUUUUGUGUAGUCAAUAUAAUUCAAUGUUAAACUGUGUAAUAAUAAUGAGAUAUAAACAUUGUAAGCCAUUGUAUUGAUGCUGCACAUGUUAUUUGUUUUAAUGUAGGUAAAGCGUGACAGAUCCUUGUGGCAAUAAAUCAGGAAAGUAUUCCUUCAGACAACUGGACAUCGACUGUUGGAAAGAGACUUUUCAUCUGAUCUGCAAACUGUGAUGGAAGAUUCUACAGAGUUCAUUCGAUACAGAAGAUUAACAGACUUACAAAGAAAUAAAAGAUUGGCACUAACAUACAUAUAUAUUCCUAAAUAUUAAUGAAGAAAACAGACAAUGAAAAGUUAUUUAACAGUUAUGAGUAUUAAUACCAAGAGAGACUACUUAUAACUAUAUAACACAUG